GAUUUGAGGAGGAGGAGCUUGAAGAGGGACUUGCCUCUUUACAGGAGCAUAGCACACAAGGAGGAUGAGUGGCACCAGCACACAUAAGGUGAGGAACACCUUCAUCCCCAGCCUCGUAAAAAAUGUGUUUCUGGGAAGUUCUGCAGUGAGACAGGGAAAGGAGGAAAGUCGUCGGUUGAAAUGCAUGCAGAGACAUUUUGAAGGGGAUUUGUUGAUGACAAUGGGACUCACCAGUGAUGGCCGACCCCGUCCUCCAAUGAACCUCAGCGGACCAGUCGCUCCACUGUCCCUGGUAAAAAACCAGGUUGGGACUGGACCGUACACUGGCAGUGUACUCUGCGUUCAGCAUGAACACGUCAUCGUCCACAGAAUAGUUUGUUCUUUCUGUGUAGAUAUCAUGAGAGAUCACCUGCAAGAAAAGAAGAAAGCAACAGCGCCCUCUGCAGAAACCCGGGGGGAUUCAUUCUGUUGGACGCCCACAAUCACCUGCAGCCUCUUAAAUAGAGGUAAUUCAAUCAACGGGGAACAGGACCGGGGGUGCACGCCCUUAUAUUUAAAGGUAAAGGAGUUGCAUAGUGUCGCUUUAUGGUCAUUUAUCAUUAUUAUGUUUCAGUUGAAAGUGACUCACGGUUCAAAUGUUUCUGUGAAAUUGAGCCAGUAGGAGCUGUCGCUGCCGGAUGUGUCUUCUGAUGGUCUGAGGCUCAUGGUGCAGUUGACCGUGAACAAGUAAUCAUUCACACAGUGAAGAUCGUGGUCGUCUACAGAGUAAUUAUACAAGCACACAAGUAAAUAUAGAAGCAUGUGUUGUAUUUGGUCUGUCAGGUGCCAAAAAUGAGUUGUGUCGCUUUGAGGAAAGGUCAGUUUUUCUUAAACAUUAGUUUAUCGCAUUAAUAUAAUUUGUAUUAUUAUUAGAUUAUGUUUUUAAUCUUAUUAUAUAAUAUUACUUUUUAUUGACUUUUUUCUUCUAGCUAUUGAAUCGUUCUAUUAGUUUUCUAAUUGUUCUUUAGCUUUUCAAAUCUAUUGUAUGUUUUUAUUUUCAUCAGCAUUUAGAUUUGUUUCUGUCUUAUUCUGGCUCAUCAGUCAAUUAUGAAACACUUUGAUCUGCGCUGAUCUGAGUGAAAGUGACUGGCUCCAAUUAGGGCCAUUUUUAGAAGUGUUGCAUGAAUGUGAGUGUGACUUGUAUUGUAAAGUGCUUGGGUGGGAAAUAACACCAGAAAAGUGCUGUAUAGACACAAUCCAUUUACCGUCAGUUAAAUCUGGUAGACAGUGAUUAUCCUUUUUUCUUUGUCUAUUUUUAAUGCUGUUCGACUUUGUUCCAGAAGAUGACUUUACACCUUCCAGUCCAAGAAGAAUUACUGUUAUUAUCAUUACUUGUUAUAAGAUUUUAAACUUUGAAUAAAAGAUUGUUACAGUUUUUAACACAUUAGGAGUCACCAUGAAUUCACUGGUUACAAAUACUGAUCAAAGGACAUCAAUACAAAGACUUUCCCCACAAUUUAAAAGCUUGUCAGCCUUUGCCCGAAGGUCAAUGGUCAUGUAACCCAUACCUGAGGUCCCUUCAAAAUCAGAGUCAGCGAAAGAGAUGUUAACAUUUUAAAGAAUAUUGGAAGAGAUAUCACCUGAGAUAGGAUUCCCAUGCAGACAGAUGAUGCUGGCGGACAGGAGCAGAACCACGUUCAGCCGAAUCAUCCUCAGUCUCAAUGUCGAGCUCCGAUCCA